GGAUCGGACCGGUUCAUGUAAAACUAGUAAACAUAAACAAACAAAGUUUUGCGGGCCGGAUCAGAUUAGGUCGGGUUGGGUCAAUUUCAAUUUUCAAACAAUCAAACCCUAUUUUCUAACUUCCUAUCACAUAAACAAACAAAGUUUCAAGUAAAACAAUAAACAACAUAAAAAGCCUUCAUAAGUAAGUAAAUUAACAACAAAAAACCCUCAAAGUUCAAAUGCUACCUACUUCUAUUUCCCCUAAUCAUUAAAUAAAGCAACAAAUAAACUUAUCUAAGACAUAACUUGGUCUUUAACUAAAAGAAUCCAACAAAAAAAAAGUGGUCCAACCUUUUUUCCUCUUGAGAAAUCGCACCAUAACUUCUCUACGCAUGGUUCUUAUAAAUGUGCCCCAAACCUUCAGCUGGAUCAGUGUUGGUGUUUUGAGCUUGAGCUACGACUGUCGUGAUAAUCAACCACAACCACAACCAUGAUGUCACCUCAAAAACCCUUAACUUGAUUCUGCAGCCACCUUCCAUCUUAAAAAAACCAGCUGUCAGCUCUUUUAUCAAUUUUUCUUUUGAGCUCACAUAUACA
rnacentral:lncRNA from 1 species